GUUGACCUCACAGUCUGUCGUUCAAUAUGCACAACCAGCCCUACAAUAUAGCUUGGACGAUUUGGAAGAUGGUCAGUAAACAGAGCAACAGAUUCUGCAGAGAGGUAGUAAUGAGGGCAGUUCCGAUGGAUAGCUUCAUAGUUUCCAGAGGAGUUGAGAACAAAUGCUGCAAUCUCAUGGACUUCUAAACGCCCAAACGAUAUCUUCUCUUUGUUUGCCUGCUUCUCGUGUUGAUGCUUUUUGUAGAGGGUGUUAACCAAAUCUUUCUUUUCUUCUAACUCCAUUGAUA
rnacentral:misc_RNA from 1 species